rnacentral:tRNA from 1 species
UCCUUGGUGGUCCAGUGGGUAGGACUCUGAACUUUCACUGCUGUGGGCCAGGGUUUGAUCCCUGGUCAGGAA